UUGUUAGUUAAUAACUUAAUAUAUACAAUGUUACUAGCUGAUUGUAGAUGAUAUACAAAAUCUUAGUGUCUAAAUAAAUGAUAUAACUAAUGAUGAUACAUGUUAGUAGAUUUUAUCUAUAUAAUACAGACGUCUGGUUUAGAAUAUUUUUUCAUAUAUUUGUAAAAAUUUGCAAUUUAAAUGUGUGGUGUGGGACACUCUAUUACAAACCCACGUGAUGAACAUUACUCUACGAUAUCCUAGGUAUAUCAAACAAGAUUCUCACUUCAG
rnacentral:lncRNA from 1 species